AAAGCGGAAGUCAUCUAUUAAGGACAGGACUAGGCAGACGGAGGUCUAGGAGCUUGAAUAGCUUACUGAAUUAGCUCAGUAAGGCCUACAGCUUCUCUUGAGUCUAUAGGAAAGAUCAGGGCAGAUAUGCCCCGGAAAGCAAGAAAUCCCUAAAUCCAGUUAUUCUUUAGGGUAAAAGGCUGGUUUAGCUCAACAAUUGAUAGAUUGCGUUAUAUUGUCCGCUAAAAGCAUUCUGUCCUGAUGGUUUAAAAACCUAAAAAGAUGGCAGUUAUCACCUGCUGACGAAGUGGUGAGGUUGGCAGAGAAUACACUAAAGAUCUCCUAGCUUCUAAAAGAAGAAAUUCUCACAGGCCUUUAUUUCAAAGUUUCAGAUUCGAUUCCAAGGCAGCUUUUCUUUA
rnacentral:lncRNA from 1 species